rnacentral:misc_RNA from 1 species
GAUGAAGAACGCAGCGAAAUGCGAUACUUGGUGUGAAUUGCAGAAUCCCGUGAACCAUCGAGUCUUUGAACGCAAGUUGCGCCCGAAGCCACUAGGCCGAGGGCACGCCUGCCUGGGCGUCACACGCCGUUGCCCCCCCAUCUACUCCUUCGGGAUUGCGGGGGGGCGGAUGAUGGCCUCCUGUGCGCCUAGCCGCGCGGUUGGCAUAAAUACCAAGUCCUCGGCGACGCACGCCACGACAAUCGGUGGUUGCGAAACCUCGGUUGCCCGUCGUGUGCGUUCGUCGCGCAUCGAGGGCUCGAAAAAAUGCUCGGCUCCGGCUGGGCUUUCAACGCGACCCCAGGUCAGGCGGGGUUACCCGCUGAAUUUAAGCAUAUCAAUAGCGGAGGA